AGUCCAGACUCAUUAAAAAUGCUAACAUUAGCCUCGUUAGCGGCUAAUGGUUAGCCAGGUGAGAGAUUCUUAAAUCAUUUGGAUCUUGUCUGUCAUUAAGAGCUGGAAGCUUCUUUUUACCCAAGAGCUACAAGCUAACCCAACAGAUCUUUAUUAGCCAUCUGUCAAAACAACAAGAGAACUACUUCCUGUCUUACUUCAAAAUAAAAGUCUCUCACACAUACAACAGGAUGUCAAACCUAAAGAACACAACACUGUUGCUACUUUAGAGGUCUAUCUGUUUAGUGAGCAUUCAGACUCCAUUUUUACAGAAAAGAGACAAAUCUAGAGACUUUCUGGUGUCAUUUAGGCCUGAAGACUCUGAAACAAGCUGACCUGCUGCUCCGUCUGCUUUGAUUUCACAGAAGAAUAAAGAGAAUGUAGCUUCAUGAGAAGGAAAAAGAAAUCCUCUGCUGACAAAUUGUCUGACAGUGGAAGCUUUAACUCGGUAUUUCAUGACCUCGCUCUCUGCAAAGCAGUGUAGUCAUGGAGAUUUCUUCAAGGAUAAGAGAGAGCAAACAUUCUAGUGCAAUGAGUCAUGGCCGCUCAGCUUUAAAGAAGCCAACUUCACAUAGUCCUACUACAUUGCUCUCUCUGUAUAGGAGGGGAGGAUACCACAGUAAGCCUCUUCAUGCUCCAGAAAGCCUGUUAAAGACAGUUGCUGGUUUUAAAGUGCUUCUGCUCCCCGACGCUCUCAACUCUGGAAGGCUGGGGUAAUUGCUGUUAUCCACGACCAAUUGGGAUGUCAAUAAAGUUAUUUAAAGCGUGGCAUUACACCCCCCGCCGACAUGGAGAGGAUGAGGAACAAACACAGAGAGGAUGAAAUGAAGAAAGGAGACAGAAACUGUGAUAAAUGCAGCUCUGAGGUUAAAUAAACCCAGAGUGGAGGACGCUCCCCUGCAUAAUAAUACUUAUAAAUAGCAGUAAUGUUAACUACCUGAAUUACAUCCAAUAAUAACAAUAUUAUAAAUAAUAUUAUUACUGGUUGUAGUUUAAGUUGUUGACAUUAGAACUAUUCAUAUUCAAUGUAUUUCAUCCUUUUACAAAAAUAAUAAAAAUGUUUUUGUUAAUCUCCAACAGGAGAACCAGAGUUCUGGAAACUCUUGGCACCUUCUGAUCAAGCAAUCUAUUUCAGGCCAUGUUAUGAGGGCAGAGGACACCUGCAUAAUGUAUGACCUCAUAAUAAACUCUAUAAAUGUUUGAAUGUGCGGCGAGCACGAAGUGGGCCGAGGGGAGCUUCUCGUCCCUUUGGAGCUUAACCUUUAAAAUAUUUACAAAUUUAUAUUUUUGCAGAUUUCUCACACAAAGCUGCUAGAAGAAGCCCACCUCUCUCCUCUUUCUCCUCCACCUCUCUCCUCCUCCUCAGAGAGGCACAAGUAUAAGCUGCCUGUCUGCACUGACAUCAGCCCCUUUAUCAUCAGAGGCAGGUGAGCCGAGCAUGCCCAGAGUGAACCUGGCCCUGCUGUAAACACAUAGUUUACAUUGGGUGGCCAGACAGUUUCUUGGCUCGGCUCUCUGCUCUGAGGGGCCCUCGGCUGUGUGGGGUCCACACAGCUAUGUGGAAACUUGGAGCUGAAUAGCAGCGCCGCCAUCUUGAGUGCAGAGCAGGAAGAGGAAAAAUUUGAACCAAUGAAGAACAGAUCCUGUUAGAUUGGAGUUUUAGAAAUGAAAUGAAACAUUUGUUAAUGUGGGUUUUUGUCCAACUAAAGGUUGAGGUUUUAUCAGAUUUCCAGUGUGAGGUUGUGCAGCUGCACUAAAACAUGAACGUUGGAGGUGUUACUAUGUGCGGAGGCCACUGUAUCACCCAGGUAACGAGGCCCAUAAGGCUUAGGCGAGGCACGAUGCAUGUGGGCUGUGGGUCAGAAACCAACUUCAGCAGUGAACCGUCCCGCCCUCCUCACAUGCCUGACACAUACUAACUGAAUCAUGCUUUACCACCUUCAUGUGAUGAGGCUACAGCCUGGUACCACUACCCAGCCUUGCUGCACACUGAAUGCUAAACGUUUCAAUACAGCUACAGCUCAAUAAAUUAAAAUAUAGUCAAAAAGUUUUUUUAUUUCAGUAUUUCAAUUUAAAAAGUGAAACUCACAUAUUUUCUACAUUUAAUAAACAUAUUUGAGUUUUUUUAUUUCUGUUCAUUGUGAUUAACUAAUAAAAGCCCAAAAGUCUGUUUCUCAUCAAAUUUAAAUAUUACAUUAGAGCCAAAAAGAAAGCAUUAUAAUACACAAAUGUUGUGUCACGGUCUAAAAACCAUGGAGAACACUGGUGACCUGACCAGCGGACAGUCAACGACGUCCUCCACAGGAAGGCGAGUCUAAGAAGGUCAUUGCUGAAAAAGGUGGCUUUUCACAGAAUGGGUGCAAACAAAGAAAGGAAAAGUUGGGUGGAAGAAAAAACUGUGGUAGAAAAAGGUGCCCAAAAUCCAAGGUGCUUGAGAUUAAGUGUGACUUUUCCCACAGUGGGGAGCAAUACCAUCUGCUGGUGUUUGGUCCACUUUGUUUUAUCAAUUCUAUGAUGUUGCUUUUUGAGAUCGUUUAGCCUACUUCAUGUUGACAGACAGGUUCUACUGAAAUGAAACCAGUAAUCAGGCCAGGGUGAGGCAACUUUUUUGCAUUUCUGUUUAUGAUCUCUGAGAUCUACUGUCUGUAUUAAAUGACUGAAAUAAAUAAACUUCCUGAUGAUAUUCUAAUUCAUGCCUGUACAGGCACGGAGCUGAGUUUGGUAGCUUUAAUGUUUUCCUUCGGUGUGGAUUAAAAACAUGUAUUAGAAAUCAAACAACAUGUUCCUGAAGUGGGUGUUCACACUGCAGAAAUGUGUUUCCCACUUCAGCGUACCACCCCUGUGGGAUAAAGCCUUUCAUUAUGGAGAACAAUUCAGAAGCUGUGACAGUCGACAUUAUGCACACAGCUUUUUCACUGAGAGAUGUAUCGGAACAACUCAUUAUCCAUGCUCUAUUUUUCUUUUUGUCACGGUCCAACCGCUCACUUCUGAACAACCCCUGCUCCUGCUCCACAAUUUUGUUUCAUCUGGAGCUGAGCUGCAUUACAGAAACCAAACAUCAUGGAAAUGCUGUUUCAUUUCACUGAGCGAUAAGAGGGGAGUUUCGCUGCACAUUUGGAUAAAGCAGAGGAUGUUUUAUGUAGUUUCAAAGUCAAUCGAUCAUCGCGAGGCCUUUGGUUGCAGGCCAAAGCACAGCAGAUCCGCAGAGCAGGGAGGAAGAAAAAGAUACGCUGUAAAAUCUAAAAGGACAAGGGCAUCCUGGAGCCCCAACGGGUUCCCACCAAAGGGCUGACUCCACACACUUGUCACACAUCAUCCGUCAAACUCAUGGACAAGGCAAAGUGAGAGUGACGCUGUGCACACACAAAACUUGCACACUUCAACGUGCAAACACACAAACAGUCACUGUGUGGUGUAGCUUCUGCACUUGGUCACAGAUAAAGAAGGGCAAGUUUUUCCAAACCUCAAGAGGGAGGUGUUGAGCUGCAGGCCGCCAGGUGGAGCUGAGAUGUUUUACAGCAAAUCCCAUUUAUGGUUCAAUUAAAAAUAAAUCCCCAUAACAACCCGAGUGAGACUGGAAGUGAGAGUAGACGGCGUGAUGUCUGUGGCCUGGAAGCUGACCUUUCCAGCCAUGACAUCUGAAGAAGUGUCUGAGACGGACGUUCCUGCUUGUGAACAUCUGGCUGAAUGUGUGAGGGUUUACUAGCCUCUGCUGCUCUAUAACCCCGCCUUAAUCUCCCGCCUGCUAUGAGGAUUCGGCACGCAAAUGGAAAGUGGUGACAUGUUAUUUUUGUAUGAGCGAGCGCUGUGUUGGUGACACUUCCUGUUUGUAACGAGAGGAUCUGUGGACAUAAUAACAGGCAGAAUGAGGAGGGAAUGGACUGAAGAGAUAAAGAAAACCUUGAAAGCAGGAAGAAAGCUCAUCCUCACAUUACUGUAUCAGUAGCUGCUGUUUAUUUCACUCCUUUUAUCACUAAAUAAAUAUUCAACUUAUCUUCAUAUAGAAA